CCACCACUAAGCCAGUGGUGAACUCCACAUACGCAUCCUUUGCUGAGGAUACGGUUAACGGAGCGAAAGCGACGUUCAACCUCAAAAGAAGCAGAGGGGGCUUAGUGGUGGGGUGACUGCGUACCUUUUGUAUAAUGGGUCAGCGACUUAUAUUCUGUAGCAAGGUUAACCGAAUAGGGGAGCCGGAGGGAAACCGAGUCUUAACCGGGCGUUAAGUUGCAGGGUAUAGACCCGAAACCCGGUGAUCUAGCCAUGGGCAGGUUGAAGGUUGGGUAACACUAACUGGAGGACCGAACCGACUAAUGUUGAAAAAUUAGCGGAUGACCUGUGGCUGGGGGUGAAAGGCCAAUCAAACCGGGAGAUAGCUGGUUCUCCCCGAAAGCUAUUUAGGUAGCGCCUCGUGAAUUCAUCUCCGGGGGUAGAGCACUGUUUCGGCUAGGGGGUCAUCCCGACUUACCAACCCGAUGCAAACUGCGAAUACCGGAGAAUGUUAUCACGGGAGACACACGGCGGGUGCUAACGUCCGUCGUGAAGAGGGAAACAACCCAGACCGCCAGCUAAGGUCCCAAAGUCAUGGUUAAGUGGGAAACGAUGUGGGAAGGCCCAGACAGCCAGGAUGUUGGCUUAGAAGCAGCCAUCAUUUAAAGAAAGCGUAAUAGCUCACUGGUCGAGUCGGCCUGCGCGGAAGAUGUAACGGGGCUAAACCAUGCACCGAAGCUGCGGCAGCGACACUAUGUGUUGUUGGGUAGGGGAGCGUUCUGUAAGCCUGCGAAGGUGUCUCGUGAGGGAUGCUGGAGGUAUCAGAAGUGCGAAUGCUGACAUAAGUAACGAUAAUGCGGGUGAAAAACCCGCACGCCGGAAGACCAAGGGUUCCUGUCCAACGUUAAUCGGGGCAGGGUGAGUCGACCCCUAAGGCGAGGCCGAAAGGCGUAGUCGAUGGGAAACAGGUUAAUAUUCCUGUACUUGGUGUUACUGCGAAGGGGGGACGGAGAAGGCUAUGUUGGCCGGGCGACGGUUGUCCCGGUUUAAGCGUGUAGGUGUGUGUUCCAGGUAAAUCCGGUUCACUUUAACACUGAGGCGUGACGACGAGGCACUACGGUGCUGAAGCAACAAAUGCCCUGCUUCCAGGAAAAGCCUCUAAGCAUCAGGUAACAUCAAAUCGUACCCCAAACCGACACAGGUGGUCAGGUAGAGAAUACCAAGGCGCUUGAGAGAACUCGGGUGAAGGAACUAGGCAAAAUGGUGCCGUAACUUCGGGAGAAGGCACGCU
rnacentral:rRNA from 1 species